GAAUAUGAUGAUAGUAAUUUUGUCGCCCCAGUCUUACAAGCAUCUAUAAGUAGAUGCAUGAUGGUGAUUGACAUUCAUAACUGAUUC